rnacentral:tRNA from 1 species
UGCGGGGUGGAGCAGCUUGGUAGCUCGCCGGGCUCAUAACCCGGAGGUCGUUGGUUCAAAUCCAGCCCCCGCGACCA